UACGUAGGGGGCUAGCGUUGUCCGGAAUCAUUGGGCGUAAAGCGCGUGUAGGCGGUCCGGUAAGUCCGCUGUGAAAGUCGGGGGCUCAACCCUCGGAUGCCGGUGGAUACUGUCGGGCUUGAGUACGGAAGAGGCGAGUGGAAUUCCUGGUGUAGCGGUGGAAUGCGCAGAUAUCAGGAAGAACACCAACGGCGAAGGCAGCUCGCUGGGACGGUACUGACGCUGAGACGCGAAAGCGUGGGGAGCAAACGGG
rnacentral:rRNA from 1 species